UGUUAGCCCCGAUUGCAGCGACAUCCUUUUUCUUUUAAAAAAAGAAAAAGAUACAGCGGAAAGCGGGACUGAAA
rnacentral:sRNA from 1 species